rnacentral:lncRNA from 10 species
CCAAGUGAGGGCUCCUGACAGAAAGCCAGAGCUGAAGUUUAAAACAAUGGCAUGGAAUGGAAUCCUACACCUCUAAUUGGACAAAACCAGAGGAAAGUAUCAGAACGGGGCAAGAGGACAUCCACAGAGCAAGGAGGCACAGAGGUGGUAGCAGGUUUCAGGAAUCAAUGAAGCAUGGUGAAAGGACCAAGAACUAGCCUGAGGCUGGAGCUGUGCAAGAGGCAAGGUGGGGAUUGGAGGAAUGAACACACCAACCUUUCUCUCCUCCCACCUUCUGAUCUCCUCUGUAUGUCUCCAUUGCCAAAUCAGCCAGAAGCAGAGGGCAAGUGAGCCCACAUGAAGCAGUCCAUGGGUUCAGUUUUGGGGGGGCAUAGAGCUUGGAUCUGAUGGAGGAGAAAAACCAAGAUAACUAGCACAGCUAUUCUUAGCAGUGAAGUUGGCAUUAGUAUUAAUAUUAGUAUUAACCAUUGCAAAUUAAUAUUAUUGCUAUUACCAUUGUGUAUCUCUAGUAACAGGACCUGUUUCUUUUAUUAUAGAUCUGAGUUUUCGGCU